rnacentral:misc_RNA from 1 species
UCCGAGUUGACCCCGGCAGUCUCCUGCGAGUCCCCGCCAUUACGCGCUGGCAACACAGGACAAGGGUUGCGCUCGUUGCGGGACUUAACCCAACAUCUCACGACACGAGCUGACGACAGCCAUGCACCACCUGUAUACCGACCACAAGGGGGGCCACAUCUCUGCAGCUUUCCGGUAUAUGUCAAACCGGAGGAAGGUGGGGAUGACGUCAGGAUAG